rnacentral:lncRNA from 1 species
AUGAUGAGUCUCAUGACACGUGUGGUCCAGUUAGUCCUUGUUCUAAUUCAGACAAGGCAGGUGGCCUUGUACCCAUCUCUUCACUUCCUAGUAAAUGAAAGAUUUGGACUAGCUGAUCUCUGCAUCUCCUUCCAGUUCUGGCAUCGGAUAUGCUGCGACUCUGAGAGGACAUCUUCCCUGGGUCUGGCUCUUACUGUUCAGGUUCAACCACGUGAAGAUGACGUUGGUGUGGAGGGUCCAAUGCUCUGCAUUUGGUGCUUAAUCCAGAGAUUUUUCCUAGGAGACAGGGAUGUAAAUCUCUGAAAGUGAUCCCAGGCACUUUGAACCGUGACCAUCACUGGCAAUAGGACUGUCCCAGGCAGUAACUCCAAAUCCAAUCCACAUGCCCUGUAAAACAAGGAUGGG